rnacentral:rRNA from 1 species
AACCUCCGCAAUGUGAGAAAUCGCGACGGGGGGAUCCCAAGUGCCAUUCUUAACGGGAUGGCUUUUCAUUAGUGUAAAGAGCUUUUGGAAUAAGAGCUGGGCAAGACCGGUGCCAGCCGCCGCGGUAACACCGGCAGCUCUAGUGGUAACAAUUUUUAUUGGGCCUAAAGCGUCCGUAGCCGGUUUAAUAAGUCUCUGGUGAAAUCCUGUAGCUUAACUGUGGGAAUUGCUGGAGAUACUAUUAGACUUGAGACCGGGAGAGGUUAGAGGUACUCCCAGGGUAGAGGUGAAAUUCUGUAAUCCUGGGAGGACCGCCUGUUGCGAAGGCGUCUAACUGGAACGGUUCUGACGGUGAGGGACGAAAGUUAGGGGCGCGAACCGGAUUAGAUACCCGGGUAGUCCUAACUGUAAACGAUGCGGACUUGGUGUUGGGUGGCUUUGAGCUGCUCCAGUGCCGAAGGGAAGCUGUUAAGUCCGCCGCCUGGGAAGUACGGUCGCAAGACUGAAACUUAAAGGAAUU